UACAGAGGUGGCAAGCGUUGUUCGGAAUUACUGGGCGUAAAGGGCGCGUAGGCGGCCUUCUAAGUCAGACGUGAAAUCCCCCGGCUUAACCUGGGAACUGCGUCUGAUACUGGGAGGCUUGAGUAUGGGAGAGGGAUGUAGAAUUCCAGGUGUAGCGGUGAAAUGCGUAGAUACUGGGAGGAACACCGGUGGCGAAGGCGGCUACCUGGACCGGAACUGACGCUGAGGCGCGAAAGUGUGGGUAGCAAACAGG
rnacentral:rRNA from 1 species